rnacentral:rRNA from 1 species
UACGUAGGGUGCGAGCGUUAAUCGGAAUUACUGGGCGUAAAGUGUGCGCAGGCGGCCGCGCAAGUCGAGUGUGAAAUCCCCGAGCUUAACUUGGGAAUUGCGCUCGAAACUACGUGGCUGGAGUGUGGCAGAGGAAGGUGGAAUUCCCGGUGUAGCAGUGAAAUGCGUAGAGAUCGGGAGGAACAUCUGUGGCGAAGGCGGCCAUCUGGACCAGCACUGACACUGAGGCACGAAAGCGUGGGGAGCAAACAGG